rnacentral:rRNA from 1 species
AAGUCAUCCCUGAGGCUAUAAGCCUCCUAAAGGGUUGUUGGAGACUACGACGUAGAUAGGCAGGGUGUGUAAGCGUAGCGAUACGUUGAGCUAACCUGUACUAAUUGCCCGUGAGGCUUAACCAU